rnacentral:rRNA from 1 species
UCCUACGGGAGGCAGCAGUAGGGAAUCUUCCGCAAUGGACGAAAGUCUGACGGAGCAACGCCGCGUGAGUGAUGAAGGCUUUCGGGUCGUAAAACUCUGUUGUUAGGGAAGAACAAGUGCUAGUUGAAUAAGCUGGCACCUUGACGGUACCUAACCAGAAAGCCACGGCUAACUACGUGCCAGCAGCCGCGGUAAUACGUAGGUGGCAAGCGUUAUCCGGAAUUAUUGGGCGUAAAGUGCGCGCAGGUGGUUUCUUAAGUCUGAUGUGAAAGCCCACGGCUCAACCGUGGAGGGUCAUUGGAAACUGGGAGACUUGAGUGCAGAAGAGGAAAGUGGAAUUCCAUGUGUAGCGGUGAAAUGCGUAGAGAUAUGGAGGAACACCAGUGGCGAAGGCGACUUUCUGGUCUGUAACUGACACUGAGGCGCGAAAGCGUGGGGAGCAAACAGGAUUAGAUACCCUGGUAGUCCACGCCGUAAACGAUGAGUGCUAAGUGUUAGAGGGUUUCCGCCCUUUAGUGCUGAAGUUAACGCAUUAAGCACUCCGCCUGGGGAGUACGGCCGCAAGGCUGAAACUCAAAUGAAUU